UUUAGUCGCAUGUUCUAGACCCGAAGCGGGGUGAUCUAGCCAUGGGCAGGUUGAAGCGUGGGUAAGACUGCGUGGAGGACCGAACCCACCAACGUUGAAAAGUUGGGGGAUGACCUGUGGUUAGGGGUGAAAGGCCAAUCAAACUCCGUGAUAGCUGGUUCUCCCCGAAAUGCAUUUAGGUGCAGCGUCGUGUGUUUCUUGCCGGAGGUAGAGCACUGGAUGGUCUAGGGGGCCUACAAGCUUACUGAAAUCAGCCAAACUCCGAAUGCCGGUAAGUGAGAGCGCGGCAGUGAGACUGCGGGGGAUAAGCUUCGUAGUCGAGAGGGAAACAGCCCAGAUCGCCAGCUAAGGCCCCUAAGCGUGUGCUAAGUGGAAAAGGAUGUGGGAUCGCAUGGACAACCAGGAGGUUGGCUUAGAAGCAGCCACCCUUUAAAGAGUGCGUAAUAGCUCACUGGUCAAGUGGUUCCGCGCCGACAAUGUAGCGGGGCUCAAGCACACCGCCGAAGCUGUGGCAUUCACACUUUACUUCGCUUGUCGACUUGAUCGGCUGGUGCAGGUGUGUGGAUGGGUAGGGGAGCGUCGUAUGGCGGGUGAAGCGGCGGAGUGAUCCAGCCGUGGACGCCAUACGAGUGAGAAUGCAGGCAUGAGUAGCGAAUGAAGGGUGAGAACCCCUUCCGCCGGAUGACCAAGGGUUCCAGGGCCAGGCUAAUCCGCCCUGGGUGAGUCGGGGCCUAAGGCGAGGCCGAGAGGCGUAGUCGAUGGAUAACGGGUUGAUAUUCCCGUACCCGCGAAGGAACGCCCAAGACGAACCUCGUGGUACUAACUGCCCAAAACUGGUGAGGACUUCGGUCUGAGCCGGCGGCGGCCAGGACCUUCACGGGUAGUAGUUUAGUGAUGGGGUGACGCAGGAAGGUAGCUGAUCCCGGCCGGUGGUUGUGCCGGGGUAAGCGUGUAGGCCGUGGUGUAGGCAAAUCCGCACCACUCAUAGGCUGAGACGUGAUGCCGAGCCGUUCUGGUGAAGUCAGUGAUCCUAUGCUGCCGAGAAAAGCCUCUAGCGAUGUUCCGAGCGGCCCGUACCCGAAACCGACACAGGUGGUCAGGUAGAGAAUACUAAGGCGACGGGUGAACUGUGGUUAAGGAACUCGGCAAAUUGCCCCCGUAACUUAGGGAGAAGGGGGGCCGGACGCGUGAAGCCCCUUUGCGGGUGGAGCGUGGUAUGGCCGCAGAGAGCAGGGGGAAGCGACUGUUUACUAAAAACACAGGUCCAUGCCAAGUCGUAAGACGAUGUAUAUGGACUGACGCCUGCCCGGUGCUGGAACGUUAAGGGGACCUGUUAGCUCUUCGGGGCGAAGCGGAGAACUUAAGCGCCAGUAAACGGCGGUGGUAACUAUAACCAUCCUAAGGUAGCGAAAUUCCUUGUCGGGUAAGUUCCGACCUGCACGAAUGGCGUAACGACUUCCCCACUGUCUCAACCACAGGCCCGGCGAAAUUGCAGUACGAGUAAAGAUGCUCGUUACGCGCGGCAGGACGGAAAGACCCCGGGACCUUUACUAUAGCUUGACAUUGGUAUCUGAAUUUAAUUGUGUAGGAUAGGUGGGAGCCGGUGAAGCUCGGACGCCAGUUCGGGUGGAGGCGCUGUUGAAAUACCACUCUGUUGGGUUUGGGUAUCUAACUUGCGGCCCUGAUCGGGUCGAGGGACAGUGUCUGGUGGGUAGUUUAACUGGGGCGGUUGCCUCCUAAAGGGUAACGGAGGCGCCCAAAGGUUCCCUCAGCCUGGUUGGCAAUCAGGUGUUGAGUGUAAGUGCACAAGGGAGCUUGACUGUGAGACUGACGGGUCGAGCAGGGACGAAAGUCGGGACUAGUGAUCCGGCACUUGCGUGUGGAAGCGGUGUCGCUCAACGGAUAAAAGGUACCCCGGGGAUAACAGGCUGAUCUUCCCCAAGAGUCCAUAUCGACGGGAUGGUUUGGCACCUCGAUGUCGGCUCGUCGCAUCCUGGGGCUGUAGCAGGUCCCAAGGGUUGGGCUGUUCGCCCAUUAAAGCGGUACGCGAGCUGGGUUUAGAACGUCGUGAGACAGUUCGGUCCCUAUCCGCCGUGCGCGUUGGAUACUUGAGAAGGGCUGUCCCUAGUACGAGAGGACCGGGACGGACGAACCUCUGGUGUGCCAGUUGUUCUGCCAAGGGCACGGCUGGUUGGCUACGUUCGGAAGGGAUAACCGCUGAAAGCAUCUAAGCGGGAAGCCUGCUUCGAGAUGAGGUAUCCCACCACCUUGAGUGGGUAAGGCCCCCAGCUAGACGACUGGGUUGAUAGGCCGGAAAUGUAAGCACGGUAACGUGUUGAGUUGACCGGUACUAAUAGGCCGAGGGCUUAACCAU
rnacentral:rRNA from 1 species